UACGUAGGGUGCAAGCGUUGUCCGGAUUUAUUGGGUUUAAAGGGUGCGUAGGCGGCCCGUUAAGUCAGUGGUGAAAACCAGCAGCUCAACUGUUGAUGUGCCAAUGAUACUGGCGGGCUGGAGUACAGACGAGGUAGGCGGAAUUGACAGUGUAGCGGUGAAAUGCAUAGAUAUUGGCCAGAACACCGAUAGCGAAGGCAGCUUGCUAGCCUGUAACUGACGCUGAGGCGCGAAAGUGUGGGGAUCAAACAGG
rnacentral:rRNA from 1 species